AGUGAACGCUGGCGGUAGGCCUAACACAUGCAAGUCGAACGGCAGCACAGUAAGCGCUUGCUCUUACGGGUGGCGAGUGGCGGACGAGUGAGGAAUACAUCGGAAUCUAAUUUUUCGUGGGGGAUAACGUAGGGAAACUUACGCUAAUACCGCAUACGACCUACGGGUGAAAGCAGGGGAUCUUCGGACCUCGCGCGAUUGAAUGAGCCGAUGUCGGAUUAGCUAGUUGGCGGGGUAAAGGCCCACCAAGGCGACGAUCCGUAGCUGGUCUGAGAGGAUGAACAGCCAGACUGGAACUGAGACACGGUCCAGACUCCUGAGGGAGGCAGCAGUGGGGAAUAUUAGACGAUGGGCGCAAGCCUGAUCCAGCCAUACCGCGUGGGUGAAGAAGGCCUUCGGGUUGUAAAACCCUUUUGUUGGGAGAGAAAAGCAGCAGGUUAAUACCCCGCUGUUCUGACGGUACCCAAAGAAUAAGCACCGGCUAACUUCGUG
rnacentral:rRNA from 1 species